AUUUAAGCUAUUUGGAGCCUAUAGAGAUUAUAUCAGAGGAUAUCUGCAGAAUGUCAGCGUUUUUGAAAGAGGAGAAGAACAUGUCUCAGAGAGCUCCUACUCCUCCAGUUUUGGCCCCAGAAUGAAACACAAGAAGAAGACCUGAAUUUGAUUUGCAUUUCAAAGUAGAACUGUCCCAGCUGACAUGAAGACUGAUGAAUAAGGAAUAAAUGUUUAUUGUUGUAUGCCACUGAUAUUUCUGUGGUCAAUUAUGUGUAGAAGAGCUGACUUGUACACUUAUAUAAACUUGAAGAAGACUGAAUUUAGAAAUGGAGUUUCUGCAUAUGGUUAUGUCUGAGUAGCUCCAAGUGGAUCAUCCCUCCCACAGACAACAACUCUAAACUCUGGACAAAAUAUAAAAAUAACAAUUUCCUGAAUAUCAAAGAACAACCCAAAUCAUGCAGAUACUGGCUGCCGUAUUGUGAGCUGCAUUAUGAAGAGGACCAUGUGGCAAGACACUGAGGGAGAUCUCCAGCCAACAACAACUCAUAAGCAACUAAAUCUUGUGAUGAACCACUGGAGUCAUCUGGAAAGAGGAUCCUCCCACCUUCAAUCUUUGAAAUGGCUAGAGCUCUGAUGACAGUUGGAUUACAGCCUUAGGAGAAACAGAGAGCCGGAGAAAUUUGUGCCCAGGUUCCUUUCCCACAGACAUUGUCAGAUAAUAAAUGUC